CAGCAGCCGCGGGAAUACAGAGGGUGCAAGCGUUAAUCGGAAUUACUGGGCGUAAAGCGCGCGUAGGUGGUUUGUUAAGUUGGAUGUGAAAUCCCCGGGCUCAACCUGGGAACUGCAUCCAAAACUGGCAAGCUAGAGUAUGGUAGAGGGUGGUGGAAUUUCCUGUGUAGCGGUGAAAUGCGUAGAUAUAGGAAGGAACACCAGUGGCAAAGGCGACCACCUGGACUGAUACUGACACUGAGGUGCGAAAGCGUGGGGAGCAAACAGGAUUAGAUACCCCUGUAGUCCCUGUCUCUUAUAC
rnacentral:rRNA from 1 species